CCCUUCGAGGAAGAAGAAUUGGUCGCCUACAUGUUGUGCGGCCUCGGCAAUGUGUACAACGCUCUUGUGACCAGCAUCACCACGCGUGCAGACUCAUAUACCAUCAAUGAUGUCUACGCCCAAAUGUUGAGCUUCGAGA